GACGCUCCGACACCCGACAGCGAACGGUACAAGUCCCUUCCCGGGACCUCGACAGGCCGCAAGGUCGUCCGGAUCAUCCCGGGGGAGACUCCAAAAACCGUUGUCCCCUCGGCGAAACAUCGAUCGAGGGAGGGAACUGCCUCGGCGGUCCUUCCGAGGAAACGAGUAUAACCUAGUCGACUACUUUCGACGACGGAUACCUCGGUUCCCACGCCGAUGAAGAGCGCGGCGAAACGCGAUAUGUCGUGCGAAUCGCAGAAUUCGGCGAAUCACGCAAUCCUCGAACGCAUCCGGCGCUCUCGGGUCUUCCCGGGAGCAUGCCCGUCUGAGCGUCGUUCCCAAAAAUCCCUACCCCCACCGGCUUAAAAAACCGACGGAGGAAGGGUGAUCGGGAGUCUGCAGAGAUGCAGUCUCCUGGGAACGAGGCGCACCCUCGAAAGCCCCGUCCGACGACGAGGGACCAGGUGCUCAGCUUCCGUCGAGAGCGCCCCUCGGGUGCAAACUCACAUCGGGAGCAUUCGCCCUGAUCCGUUCAAACUCGAGUCGACCUCGGGAUCCCUUUCGAGAGGAUCGGACGCCGUCCGUGGUCCGUGAGACCAGGGUCGGAGGAGUAAAAUCCUCCCCUACUGUAACACGAACUUCAGAUGGGGCAAGAUUACCCGGUUGAACUUAAGGCAUAU
rnacentral:misc_RNA from 1 species